AGUUUGUUGAAAUUUUAAAAAAGAUUUUUACAAUUUUUUUUCACAAUCAUAAUCUCCGUACUUUUCCGCAUAUUUAAAAAAAAAAAAAAGAAAAAAAACAAAAAAAUUCUGAAA